GUGGGGAAUAUUGGACAAUGGGCGAAAGCCUGAUCCAGCCAUGCCGCGUGUGUGAAGAAGGUCUUCGGAUUGUAAAGCACUUUAAGUUGGGAGGAAGGGCAGUAAGUUAAUACCUUGCUGUUUUGACGUUACCGACAGAAUAAGCACCGGCUAACUUCGUGCCAGCAGCCGCGGUAAUACGAAGGGUGCAAGCGUUAAUCGGAAUUACUGGGCGUAAAGCGCGCGUAGGUGGUUUUGUAAGUUGGAGGUGAAAUCCCCGGGCUCAACCUGGGAACUGCCUCCAAAACUGCAUGACUAGAGUACGGUAGAGGGUAGUGGAAUUUCCUGUGUAGCGGUGAAAUGCGUAGAUAUAGGAAGGAACACCAGUGGCGAAGGCGACUACCUGGACUGAUACUGACACUGAGGUGAGAAAGCGUGGGGAGCAAACAGGAUUAGAAACCCCAGUAGUCC
rnacentral:rRNA from 1 species